rnacentral:rRNA from 1 species
CUAAAUGAAACUAGAUACAAGCGAGCGGCGGACGGGUGAGUAACACGUGGGUAACCUGCCCAAGAGACUGGGAUAACACCUGGAAACAGAUGCUAAUACCGGAUAACAACACUAGACGCAUGUCUAGAGUUUGAAAGAUGGUUCUGCUAUCACUCUUGGAUGGACCUGCGGUGCAUUAGCUAGUUGGUAAGGUAACGGCUUACCAAGGCAAUGAUGCAUAGCCGAGUUGAGAGACUGAUCGGCCACAUUGGGACUGAGACACGGCCCAAACUCCUACGGGAGGCAGCAGUAGGGAAUCUUCCACAAUGGACGAAAGUCUGAUGGAGCAACGCCGCGUGAGUGAAGAAGGGUUUCGGCUCGUAAAGCUCUGUUGGUAGUGAAGAAAGAUAGAGGUAGUAACUGGCCUUUAUUUGACGGUAAUUACUUAGAAAGUCACGGCUAACUACGUGCCAGCAGCCGCGGUAAUACGUAGGUGGCAAGCGUUGUCCGGAUUUAUUGGGCGUAAAGCGAGUGCAGGCGGUUCAAUAAGUCUGAUGUGAAAGCCUUCGGCUCAACCGGAGAAUUGCAUCAGAAACUGUUGAACUUGAGUGCAGAAGAGGAGAGUGGAACUCCAUGUGUAGCGGUGGAAUGCGUAGAUAUAUGGAAGAACACCAGUGGCGAAGGCGGCUCUCUGGUCUGCAACUGACGCUGAGGCUCUAAAGCAUGGGUAG